rnacentral:rRNA from 1 species
GAUCCUGGCUCAGGAUGAACGCUGGCGGCGUGCUUAACACAUGCAAGUCGAACGAAGCACUUAAGAUUGAUUCUUUGGAUGACGUCUUUUGUGACUUAGUGGAGGACGGGUGAGUAACGCGUGGGUAACCUGCCUCACACAGGGGGAUAACAGUUAGAAAUGACUGCUAAUACCGCAUAACCCGAUAGGAUCGCAUGAUCCAGACGGAAAAAAUUUAUCGGUGUGAGAUGGACCCGCGU